rnacentral:lncRNA from 1 species
UCUUAGAAAACAUGGCUUGUUGGAAACUCAGAAGACUUGCCUGCUUAGCGGUGCUAAAAAACCACGCCUGAGCCCACUGUCGGUUUACAUCUGAGACUUACAGGGAAGACCUGGGUCUCACCUGAGGCCCCAUCUGUUCUUGAGGCAACACCUGGGUUCUUUUCAACACUCAAUAGACAGGCAUCCUCCACCUACCUAUGCCCAAAAGGCGAUGACUGAAAGGGUAUGCAGAAAAGAUGGAGACUGUCUGCCUCGAUCCCAGUGACAGAACAUCAGUUCUGGCUAUUACUUUUCCAUUCUUGGUUUCCAGUGAUUACUUAGUCAGAUGGCUCAGACAAUGGCGGGAAUGCUGUGGACAGUGGAACAAUACGAUGUAGCGAGGAGACUUCUCACUCAGCAGAGAGGUGUUAGGGAGGACUGCAGAACAAGCUCCAGUGAUCCUUUGUGAAGGAUCUUGGCAAGAUGGGAUACGUGUUAACCAUGUAAGGAAAAAUUGUGAAAGAUUUUGCAAUGGAAGAGAAAAUUACUGGAUGUCGUAUGGAAUCCUAGGUGUUGUCUAGCAUAUCCAUCUGGAUUAUCUGAUUCUAUAGUGAC